UACGUAGGUGGCAAGCGUUGUCCGGAUUUACUGGGCGUAAAGAGCGCGCAGGCGGUCGUUCAAGUCGCGUGUGAAAGCCCCCGGCUCAACUGGGGAGGGUCACGCGAUACUGAUCGACUGGAAGGCAGGAGAGGGUAGUGGAAUUCCCGGUGUAGUGGUGAAAUGCGUAGAUAUCAGGAGGAACACCAGUGGCGAAGGCGGAUCUCUGGGCCUGUCCUGACGCUCAGGCGCGAAAGCUAGGGGAGCAAACAGG
rnacentral:rRNA from 1 species